GAAGGAGUGGUCGAGUGGUUUAAGGCGGCAGAUUGUAAAUCUGUUGAGUUUUCUCAUCGUAGGUUCAAAUCCUACCUCCUUCA
rnacentral:tRNA from 1 species